rnacentral:rRNA from 1 species
AACGAACGCUGGCGGCAGGCUUAACACAUGCAAGUCGAGCGCCCCGCAAGGGGAGCGGCAGACGGGUGAGUAACGCGUGGGAAUCUACCCAUCUCUACGGAAUAACGCAUGGAAACGUGUGCUAAUACCGUAUACGUCCUUCGGGAGAAAGAUUUAUCGGAGAUGGAUGAGCCCGCGUUGGAUUAGCUAGUUGGUGGGGUAAAGGCCUACCAAGGCGACGAUCCAUAGCUGGUCUGAGAGGAUGAUCAGCCACACUGGGACUGAGACACGGCCCAGACUCCUACGGGAGGCAGUAGUGGGGAAUAUUGGACAAUGGGCGCAAGCCUGAUCCAGCCACGCCGCGUGAGUGAUGAAGGCCCUGGGGUUGUAAAGCUCUUUCACCGGUGAAGAUAAUGACGGUAACCGGAGAAGAAGCCCCGGCUAACUUCGUGCCAGCCGCCGCAGUAACAC